rnacentral:rRNA from 1 species
GAUGAACGCUGGCGGCGUGCCUAAUACAUGCAAGUCGAGCGAAGCGUGCACGGGUGAGUAACACGUUUAUAACCUCCUAUAAGACUGGGAUUACUUCGGGAAACCUGAGCUAAUCCUGCUACUUAUAGCUGGAUCCGCGCUGCAUUAGCUAGUUGGUUAGGUAACGGCUUACAAAGGCAACGAUGCAUAGCCGACCUGAGAGGGUGAUCGGCCACACUGGGACUGAGACACGGCCCAGACUCCUACGGGAGGCAGCAGUGGGGAAUCUUGCGCAAUGGGCGAAAGCCUGACGGAGCAACGCCGCGUGAGUGAUGAAGGUCUUCGGAUUGUAAAACUCUGUUAUUAGGGAAGCGGUACCUAAUCAGAAAGCAACGGCUAACUACGUGCCAGCAGCCGCGGUAAUUC